rnacentral:rRNA from 1 species
AUUGAACGCUGGCGGUAUGCUUAACACAUGCAAGUCGAACGGUAGCAGGCCUUCGGGUGCUGACGAGUGGCGGACGGGUGAGUAACGCGUAGGAAUCUACCUCAAAGUGGGGGACAACUUAGGGAAACUUAAGCUAAUACCGCAUACGCCCUACGGGGGAAAGCGGGGGACCUUCGGGCCUCGCGCUAUGAGAUGAGCCUGCGUUGGAUUAGCUAGUUGGUAGGGUAAAGGCCUACCAAGGCGACGAUCCAUAGCUGGUCUGAGAGGACGAUCAGCCACACUGGGACUGAGACACGGCCCAGACUCCUACGGGAGGCUG